rnacentral:lncRNA from 1 species
UAUCAAGGAGUCCAUUUUGCCCUUCAGAGGAUGAAUAGCUUUCUAUUUUUAUUCUGUCUAUUUUAUAGCUGCCACUGAGGAAGCGAGAAGUCUGAGAUUGAUCCUGACCCAGUAGUAUUAUAUGUAGGUCCUAUGAGAACAAUAUUUGCUCUUGAUGACCAUUGGAACAUACUAAUUUAAAGAACUCUAACAUACUCUCCAAAGAACGCCUUCCACAUUUUUUUCACAUGUGAGAUCUCCCAGACUUUCAAAGCCAUCAGUAAAGUUCGAACUACUUUUUAGUUUGCAUCUUUUCUCCUCUGAGGUUCAAAGUGGCAGCAGCACCACCUCGCCAUCCAUCUGGGAUCCGACUCCUUCAUCGAGCAGAGGGCUGCGUACCUGUCUCAGCCAGAGGCCUUGUGGCUUUCAGCAGCUGAACACUUUGGGAUGCAACUGAACCAGGGUUUUCAGCUGGACAACGUCUGAACUAACUGCAAAUCACAAUGUCACCAUGAAUGUCCACUGGCAAACUGGAUAAGAAAGAGUGUCACAGUGCAGGACAACCUAGAAGAUGACAGAUAUUUCCAGGCAUAGCAAUGAUGAGAUCAAAUUCCCCUCAACCUGCCUUGUUUGCUGAUCUUUUAAUCAGAUUCAACUUCACUGCAGCUACAGCACAAGGUUCCCUGACAAUGGACUGGAAAAAUAAUCGAUUCCUCAGCAGCUGCAGAUGGGCCAGGAAAGGCUCUCGCCCGGGACACUGUUUACGUAAGUUAGCCCAAGCAUAUGGCUCUGAAGCCUGCCUGUAGCCACCGUCAGAUAUUGCAAUUUUCC